rnacentral:rRNA from 1 species
UACAGAGGUCUCAAGCGUUGUUCGGAUUCAUUGGGCGUAAGGGGUGUGUAGGUGGCGCCGUAAGUCGGGUGUGAAAUUUCGGAGCUUAACUCCGAAACUGCAUUCGAUACUGCGGUGCUUGAGGACUGGAGAGGAGACUGGAAUUCAUGGUGUAGCAGUGAAAUGCGUAGAGAUCAUGAGGAAGACCAGUGGCGAAGGCGGGUCUCUGGGCCGUAACUGACGCUGAGGAGCGAAAGCAUGGGGAGCGAACAGG